rnacentral:rRNA from 1 species
CGUCGGGUUAGCAAUAAUUCGGCGGUCCUAGUGGCGCACGGGUGAGUAACACGUGGGUAACCUGCCCUUGAGUUCGGGAUACCCCCUCGAAAGGGGGGCUAAUACCGGAUACGGUCCUCGGGUUGAAAGGCCUGGGGAAGAAAGGUAGCGCAAGCUGCCGCUCUUGGAGGGGCUCGCGGCCUAUCAGCUAGUUGGCGGGGUAACGGCCCACCAAGGCUAUGACGGGUAGCUGGUCUGAGAGGACGACCAGCCACACGGGGACUGAGACACGGCCCCGACUCCUACGGGAGGCAGCAGUGGGGAAUUUUCCGCAAUGGGCGAAAGCCUGACGGAGUGACGCCGCGUGUGGGACGAAGGCCUUCGGGUCGUAAACCACUGUCAGUGGGAAAGAUGGGUGUCGGCGUGAAUAGCGCCGAUAUCUGACGGUACCUGCAGAGGAAGCCCCGGCCAACUCUGUGCCAGCAGCCGCGGUAAGACAGAGGGGGCAAGCGUUGCUCGGAAUUACUGGGCGUAAAGGGCGCGUAGGCGGAAUGGCAAGUCGGUCGUGAAAUCCUUCGGCUCAACCGAAGAACGUCGAUCGAAACUGCCGUUCUUGAGGAUUGCAGAGGAGACUGGAAUUCCCGGUGUAGCGGUGAAAUGUGUAGAGAUCGGGAGGAACACCGGUGGCGAAGGCGGGUCUCUGGGCAAUUCCUGACGCUGAGGCGCGAAAGCGUGGGG